rnacentral:rRNA from 1 species
UACGAACUGUGCAAACGUUAUUCGGAAUCACUGGGCUUAAAGGGUGCGUAGGCGGUCUUGUAAGUAGGGUGUGAAAGCUCCCGGCUCAACUGGGAGAGGUCCUUGCAUACUGGCGAACUCGAGGGAGGCAGAGGAAAGUGGAAUUCCCGGUGUAGUGGUGAUAUGCGUAGAUAUCGGGAGGAACACCUGUGGCGAAGGCGGCUUUCUGGGCCUUACCUGACGCUGAGACGCGAAAGCGUGGGGAGCGAACCGG